GAUGAAGAACGUAUCGAAAUGCGAUACGUAAUGUGAAUUGCAGAAUUCAGUGAAUCAUCGAAUCUUUGAACGCAUAUUGCGCUCUUUGGUAUUCCGAAGAGCAUGCUUGUUUGAGUAUCAGUAAACACCUCAAAAGAUUUUCAUUUUUGAAAUGAUUUUGGACUUGAGCAAUCCCAACACCAGUCUUCACGGAUCGGCGGAGGGUUGCUUGAAAUGCAGGUGCAGCUGGACAUUCUCCUGAGCUAAAAGCAUAUCUAUUUAGUCCCGUCAAACGGAUUAUUACUUUUGCUGCAGCUAACAUAAAGGGAGUUUGACCAUUUUGGCUGACUGAUGCAGGAUUUCACAAGGGUCGGUAAAACGAUUUUUGUAAAACUCGAUCUCAAAUCAAGUAAGACUACCCGCUGAACUUAAGCAUAUCAAUAAGCGGAGGA
rnacentral:misc_RNA from 1 species